AGUGAACGCUGGCGGUAGGCCUAACACAUGCAAGUCGAACGGCAGCACAGUAUUAGCUUUCUCUUACUGGUGGCGAGUUGAGUACGGGUUAGGUAUACAUCGGUAUCUACUUUUUCGUGUUGGGUAACGUAGGGAUACUUACGCUUAUACCUCAUACGACCUUCGGGUGAAUGCAGGGGCUCUUCCGACCUUGCGCGAUUUCAUGAGUCGUUGUCUGGUUAGCUAGUUGGCGGGGUAACGGCCCACCAAGGCGACGAUCCGUAGCUGGUCUGAGAGGCUGAAGAGCGACACUGGGAGUGAGACACGGUACAGAGUCCGACGGGAGGCAGAAGUGGGGAAUAGAGGAAGAUGGGCGCAAGACUGAACCAGCCAUACCGCGUGGGUGAAGAAGGGCUGCGGGUUGGAAAGCCGUUUUGUUGGGAAAGAAAAGCAGCAGGUUAAUACCACGCUGUGGUGACGGUACCCAAAGAAGAAGCACCGGCUAACUUCGUG
rnacentral:rRNA from 1 species